rnacentral:lncRNA from 1 species
AUACCAAGAAAACGCAAAGUUGGCUGGAAUGCUAUGGACAGGUGCUUGUUGUGUGUAUAGGGAAGAACACCAAAAUGCCUUUGCACAUAAUGUAAACCCCUUCCUUCUUCUAUACAGGUCUAUGUUCACAAGCCUACAGCAUGGAUGGGAAAACAGACGCUCAGCAACCUAAAGACAAUCCUUCAUUCUUGGAUAAAAGCUUUGGGCCACACACCAUGAAGAGAAUCUCACUCUGUUUUUCAAAGCUUAAGCAUAUAAGCUUGUUCCAAACUGGGACCCAUCCAUUUUUAUAUCCACGCAUCUCUACAAGUCACGACAAACUGAUGGUACUAUACAAUUUCUUGAAAACACACUUCAUCUUCAUCGCCAUCGUUCGCCACAUUAAGGUGUGAUGAUGGCUAUAGGCUCAUUCAUUCGAGGUGUGUAGUUUGAGUUAAUGUGGACUGCAGCCGCGGUCCCUUUCUUCCACAAAUCUGGAAUCAUUCACGCCGUAUUUCCAUAACUGUUACUCACUUCCCAUUCUGUGUAAUCCAAAUUCUUCUCGUAUCAGUUUCCACAUUAUCUUCCACCACCCCCUCCUUCUCUCUCAUGUCUUCUCUGUUCUCCACCCGGUCUCCGUCUCUUAUCUCUUUCCCUCCCUGGAUGCUGCCUUUCCCGGCAUUUCUGUGGCUUCACUGCCAGAUGGCGAUUCAAUGUUCUAAAGGCUGAUACUUCCCAGAAUGAAUCAGGCUCUCCUGACUACCAUAUUUUUCCCCACUGCCAGAUGGCGAUUCAAUGUUCUAAAAGACUGACACUUCCCAGAAUGAAUCAGGCUCUCCUAACUACCGUAUUUUUUCCGUGUAUAAGAUGCCCUCAUGUAUAAGACGCCCCCCACUUUUCUAAUCCAAAAUUAGGAAAUCUAAGUGGGGUUUAGCAAGUGUAGGGGGAAAGGGAUCAAAGCGCUGCAGGAUCGUUUUGAUCCCUGCUUUCCCCUCCACUUGUUUUUGUUCUCUCCUCAGCUUACUUCCGUGUAUAAGACGAGCCUCAAUUUUUAGUCUAAAGAUUU